UUCAAAUGGUUAUAAUAAAUUAACUGUGGGGUAUUUUGUGCUGAAACUUCACAAAUACAUUCUGGGGACACCCAAGACCAAUAUUACAUCUUGUAAAAAGGGGCAUAAUAGGUGCCCUUUAAACCGACCAGACGGCACAUGUUUCACUUUCACAAGUUUCAACCUUCAAAUUCACUUCAAAAAGGCUGUUGUCUAUGGAUGUAUGAACGUUUCUUUUGUAUUCUGAAUUUAAAAUGUUGUUUUUGCAAUGCAGUAAGUAGUAAUUUUGACUUUAGAACAACAAAACUUGUAUCUUUUAUGCAAUUGUUAUGGUUACAUAUUUAAGUUUUUCUGUUUUGAUUUUGCAAUGCAGUAAAUUGACAAGCAGAAUCACCCCAGGACAAGGGAAGCUGAUCAAAAACAAGGAGCCAUGGAUUACAGAAGACCUUUGCCCUGCACAACAACCAAAAGUCUUUAAGGGUUUAGUGGAAGAGCUGUGCUUUCUGAUAUUGAAAGAGGAAGACCAGGAAAAAGACCUUCUUCAACUUUCACUGGCUGAAAUGGAUGAUGACAGACAACUGGCCAAAGAGCCUUUAGUGUUUUGCUU